CCCUUAGAUGUCCUGGGCCGCACGCGUGCUACACUGACACUUACACCGAGUUUUUCCAAUGCCGAAAGGCCAUUGGUAAUCAGCAAUAAGUGUCGUGAUGGGGAUAGAUCUUUGGAAUUAUUGAUCUUGAACGAGGAAUGCCUAGUAAUCGUAGGUCAUCAGCCUGCGAUGAUUACGUCCCUGCCCUUUGUACACACCGCCCGUCGCACCUACCGAUUGAAUGGUCCGGUGAAUCUUUAGGACUGUGGCUGAGGCCUUGCCUUGUGCGGGUCUGGCCGUGGGAAUUUAGUUAAACCUUACCAUUUAGAGGAAGGUGAAGUCGUAACA
rnacentral:rRNA from 1 species